CUCUCCGAGGUUGUAUGGCGAAGUCUACGCAGAGGCGGUGCUGGCGUCGCGGCGGGGCUGUGGGCAGGCUUCGGCGCGCUGAUGCGCUUGCGCGGGGCUAGAUCCUCGGCCCUUUGGGGAGCGUGGAGAUGGCGGCGGUUGGGGGACCUUCGCCGGAGCCGGCGGCUUCCGAACAGCCGGCGGAGCUCCCUGCGUCGGUGCGGGCGAGCAUAGAGCGGAAGCGGCAGCGGGCGCUGAUGCUGCGCCAGGCCCGGCUGGCGGCCCGGCCCUACCCGGCGACGGCGGCUGCGGCUACCGGAGGCGUGGCUAAUGUAAAAGCAGCCCCAAAGAUCACCGACACAGGAGGAGGCUUCAUUCUAGAAGAGGAAGAAGAGGAACAAUGUACAAUUGGAAAAGUUGUCCAUCAACCAGGACCUGUUAUGGAAUUUGAUUAUGCGAUAUGUGAAGAGUGUGGUAAAGAAUUUAUGGAUUCUUACCUUAUGAACCACUUUGAUUUGGCAACUUGUGACAACUGCAGAGAUGCUGAUGAUAAACACAAGCUCAUAACUAAAACAGAAGCCAAACAAGAAUACCUUCUGAAAGACUGUGAUUUAGAAAAAAGAGAACCAGCUCUUAAAUUCAUUGUGAAGAAGAAUCCUCAUCAUUCACAAUGGGGUGAUAUGAAACUCUACUUAAAAUUGCAGAUUGUGAAGCGGUCUCUUGAAGUUUGGGGCAGUCAGGAAGCAUUAGAAGAAGCAAAGGAAGUUCGACAAGAAAACCGAGAAAAAAUGAGACAGAAAAAGUUUGAUAAGAAAGUAAAAGAAUUACGGCGAGCGGUGAGAAGCAGCGUGUGGAAAAGGGAAACAGUUGUUCAUCAGCAUGAGUAUGGACCAGAAGAAAGCCUAGAGGAGGAUACAUACCGGAAGACUUGUACCAUGUGUGGCCACGAGCUGACCUAUGAGAAAAUGUGACUCGUAAAGUGUGAUGUUGCCACAGAUGAAUGGGACACUCCUAUAAAUCAUGCUUCAGGAAGAAAUUUUAAACACUGGACAGUGGGCAGCAAGACCUUCCUGGGACCAUGAGAAAGCUUCCAGCUUGAGGACAAGAGUACUGAGGGAUCCAGGCAGCUGACAACAGCAUUACUGCAUGGGAGAUAUAGAGCCCUUGAGCCACAUGGACCUAGGUUCCAAUUCCAUUUUUUAGCUGUGGGCCUUGGGUAAGUUACUCUGUGGGCCUGUUUCUAUCUGUCGGAUGGGCAUGAUCCUGUCAGGACUGUUUGAGGAUUACAUAUGGCAGAUCUGUAGCACGUGGCACCUAACAGCCACUUGUUAAUGAGCACAUUAAUAUAUAUAUAGUAUACAGUAUAUAGUUCCCAAUUUGUCUAGUUUCUUACAUCUUUGAAAUUCGGUCUGUAGUUUUCCCUAAACUUAGCUGCUAGACUGUGAGCGGGGUCACAUCAGUGCAUUCUUGACAUGAAGAGAGGAUCCAAGAAAUUCCUCUAGAAUUCGGAUCAAGCAAGUAUAAUUAGUCAAACUCUGCAAUACAUUGUGAAAGAUUUAUAAGUCCGUUUACGGUCAAAGUUCCCAAAGCCUUAAAGGGUCAUCCUUUUGGCUUCUUCAGGACAAGAGCCAUGUCUAACUGAAUACUAUUUGUGGGAAGGAGGAACAGUAUAACCAAAAGAAUAUUUAGCCAAGAGCCUGGGUUUUAGACUCCUUUCGGCUAGUAACCUGCCAUGCACCCUUAAUUCUGCGAACAAUUCUUGUUUUGCAUGGUAUGGUUAUUUAAAAAUCCUAGGAGUUCCCAUCUCUUGACUAUAUUCUGUAGUCACCAAAUGAAGGGUACUCCAAAGAGACCAUGUAACAAUAUGAAAAAUACUAAUCCAGCAUAAAUUUAUGACCUAAAUAAGUGAAAGAUACCUAUGUUGUACAAACAGAGAAAUACUACUUAUCAGUUGUGGGGUUGUUGAUAAAUUUUUCCUCAGGUUUAAUGAAGGCUUAUUAAAAUGCUAGAAAUUUGCAAUGUCAGAUAAUUCCCUAUUUUGCAUAUUUUACAUGUGUACUCAUUUAUUAUCUUAGUUAAGCUUUAAUACCAUGUAAGAAACUGGCUCAAGAAUUAGUAACUCCUUGGACUUAAAUUCUAUAGAAACAAAGUCCAUGCCUACAGUACAGUUUUAGCCAAUCCAAACUAGCUACUUCUAUUUCCACUUUAGCAUGUACUUCAUAAUUGGACCUUGGACAAAUCUGUCUCAGAGAACAGAGGAAAUGACCGGACAGCUCCAAGGUAAUGGUUCCCAAACUUGUCCACACACUGGCAAUCACCCGGGAUCACCUGGGGAGCCUUAAGAACUACGGCUGUGUCCCCCGCCCCCGUGGUUUAAUUUAGAAAAUAACUUUAAAGACUCUCAGGUGACUUAUAUUCAAACAGAUUUGGGUAGUGCUAAAUAAAUAACACUUAAUAUGUGUAACAUUUUAAAACACUAAGAUCUGAAGAGAGAUUUCUGAAUGAGGGAAGAAUUGUGAAUGAGGAAAUCACCAAUCUUAAAGUAGAUUGAGAUGAUAAAUCAUGAAAUACCAAAGUUUAAAAAACAUUUUUAGUUUUAUUUCAGCCAUGUUAGGUUAUCCAUGAGCUGUGAAAAGCUAUGCUACUUGAUGGUAAACCCACCAGUUCUAUAUACUACUUUGUAAGCUGGACCUCUAGUGUUCACAUACCUCAAAUCGCUUAUCUUUUGUGCCUUAAGGAGAAAAAAAUACCAGAACAGUUGUAUCUGUCACAGAUAUAAUACAUCCUAUGGUCAUCGUCACAUUGUCAGUAGGGAGUAUUUGCCUUGUAGGGCCAAUUAAAGGUAAUCAAUUCUCUAUUCUUCACUGUCCUCCUCCCCCCCUUUAGUAAGUGAAAGGGUGCUACAAGAAAGCAAGCAUUCAAACCAUCAAAAAUAAGACAAAUUAUUUUGAGAUAUUUAAAAAAAAAUCUUGACAGGGGAGUAAAACGACCCUUAGGCCUGUAGGGCACAGAACUGCUGGAACACAGCCAGGAUAUGAGGGUCUAAUUCGGCGGUGAAGAGCAGGUUCUCCAGGGUCACCAUGUACUGCUGGAUUAUUUGGUGAUGCUGUGGACGUAAAAAAAGGGGGUGUUUAGAUCAGGAGAAAGACCGCAUAAGCAAUCUCGCAGGACGUUUCCCUCAGCAGCCUGCCUACGUUGUGGAAUGAUGGGAAGGGUUUGGGGAAAAAAGUGGUUAUGCUUGAUAGGAAGAAUGGGCUCCUGGAAAGCCCCAACAUUAAGAACAUGUAGAGGGAAAUGAAGAAAAAGGGAUGUUUGAUAACUUAGAAACUGGUGAGAACUGAGUCCUUUACGUAAAUGUAGUUCAUGCUUCAAGGCUUGGCAAGAGUGCCUGGUGCUACAGACUAGGUUCAGCUGGGUCUCUCCUAAUUAGGACCAGACAGGACUUUGUAAACGGAGCCCAGACAGGGACUGACCCGGCAAGAUUAACAACCCAGGAAGGAGGAUUAGAAUGAAGGUUGCUGAAAGGUUGCUGAAACAAAUAUUUUGCAAUAAAAGUUUUUUUGCUCUUAUUGGUUAGAACAUUUAAGAUUGUAAAAGAAUACAGAAUUAGCCAAUGACCUGUUAAUUUUUUUUAACUAUUCCACAAAAUAAACCCAAACCUCAAUAUAGGUCUUAAAUAGCUCAUCUGUCUCACUGAAAAUCAGUGGCUUGAGGCUAUGUGGGAAGAAAGUGUCAUGAAAUAAUCUCUUCUAUGUGUGCCUGUCUGACUUGUAUACACGGAGAUCCCUACCGGACUAAAGAACGGCAGUUAGGAGUCUGAACUGCAUAUAGAACCAAUUUCACUCUGAAUAUUCUGAUGAGCAACAGGAGCAAACAGACAUUAAAAGAAACUUCCCAACAAAUCUGACCAUUUUUUAACAUGGAAAGUCCUUGUGGCUGGGAAUAGUGAUGUUCAUUAUCUAAUCAGGGUUUCCCACAAACCUGUAAGAAGAUCUGCUGGAGCCUCUCUAUACAGUUCUUAUACCAUGGUGUUAAUACGCUGGUCCCAUCGGUUUCACAUCGUACUAAGUGCUCGGUCAAGAUCAUGAUAAAACGCUGAAGAGGGGGUAUAAAGUUAAAGCAGUGUUAGAGGGAGAAUUCUUAUACCUCAAACAAUCACAUUUUUGACCAAGAGACCUCAAAAGGCAUUGCUUAUUCCACUCGGUUUUUGUGGUAUCGCUAACUUUUGUUAAGUCAAUAAAUUCUAGAAAUAGGCAGAUAAGUGAUAAUGUUAGUAUAUCCUUUUUUCAGUAUGUGAACACUUUUAAAUCUAGAUUAUUUGUGCUAGUAACUUUUCUCCACACCUAUUUCUAAGGACAUAAAUAAUGUUCAUCAAGAAGGAAAAUAAUCCAAAUGAUGAACAAGUGGGAAUAAAUAGGAGUGAGGUACUCCACAAAAGGAUCCUCAAAAAAUGUUUUUAAAGCCUGGAGCAAUGGUCAUGUAAGAAUGCUGUAAACGAAACAGACUGUGGAGGUACACAUGGUUAUUUCCUUUGCAAAUUUUUGUGAUUUAAAUUUUUGUGAUUUAAAUUUUUUUUUUUUUCAACGUUUAUUUAUUUUUGGGACAGAGAGAGACAGAGCAUGAACGGGGGAGGGGCAGAGAGAGAGGGAGACACAGAAUCGGAAACAGGCUCCAGGCUCUGAGCCAUCAGCCCAGAGCCUGACGCGGGGCUCGAACUCACGGACCGCGAGAUCGUGACCUGGCUGAAGUCAGACGCUUAACCGACUGCGCCACCCAGGCGCCCCGUGAUUUAAAUUUUUAUAAAUAAACGUGUACUAUGAUUAAAAAUAAUAGUACUGCAUUUUUACCUAUCAGUGUCCCAAGCCAAGAUACCUGAAAUAUAACGAGGAAGAGAUUCUUCUGUUCACUCUGAGCAGAUUCCACUUUUUCCUGCAGUCUUUCUAUUUGCUCCUCUAGAGCCCCAUCUUUCCUGUCACUGCUUCUGUCGUCAUCGUCACUUCGCUACAGGAUGCACAGGAACAAAAGGAAAAUGCCUCUUAGAAUUCUAGUAUGUUAGAUCCCAUUAAGUAAGAGAAAGGAUGUUACUGUGUCUGGUCCAGUGCCACUUGAAGACUUGUAUUCUCUAAUGAAAGUACUCCACCACCCAGAUGCACCUGCAUACACCCAAAAGUCCUGUGGGCACUUACCUAGGCCAGGGAAACUUGGUGGCACCUGUCAUGAUAACAGCAGUAAGAGUAUUUGCUAUAGAGCAGAAGUGAGUUACCCCUUUUACAAGACAGACCAUUCAGGGAGGAAGUGUUGGUUACAUUUUUCCUCCAUGCAAAAAGAAAGCAGCUUUGAGCUCCAUGGAAAACGUACAGUAGAUUCUUGUUAUCUACCAUAGUUAUGUGGAUACAUUUGUUGUGAAUCCUGAAUUAGUACUGAACCACUGCUCAGGGAAAUACAGGGUUAGGUUCUUAGGGAGUCUUUGGUUUAUUUUUGUCAACUGAUCAACAAGUAACCUUAUGUGUGUUUCUGUCUAAAGAUAGCUUAUUUAAUAUAUGUGUUUUACAAAUAAUUAUAUACAGUUCUUUAUAUUCAAACGCUGCCUGAGAAAGAUUUAACAUCUUCUUGACCCUGAGUAACAUGACUAAAUUUCUUUGGCUUUCAGCCCCGCAAGAAUGCUGUCUACUACGUUUUUUAAAUCUAUCCUUGUCUUAUGAAUCCACAAAUUGAGCUGCUUUUCCACAGCACUUAGAGAGGUUACUUCGGUCCUUGAUGGAGCAGCCUCACGUACAUACUGGUGAAUUUCCUUUUCCUUUAUCUGGAUUAUGAUACUGUUGAUUUAUGAACACUGAAUUCACGGCCAAGAGCAUGGUCGUUCAUGCCCAAAAGAAGCUCAACUGACUUAUGUGUUUUUACCGUCAGACAUGUCACAGCCUUCUUGCACUUAGGAACACUAGACAGCAUUUCAGCCUUAUGCUUUAGGGCCACUUUAAACCGUAAAAGCCACCAACAAAAGCCCAAACAUGGCAGUAAAUACAUUACGAAAAGGAUGCUUUUUUACAGUAUAAGAAAUGAAACAAGAAGGUAGAGUAUUGCCUUGUUUGACUUUAUCUGGGAACAAGCCCACUGGGCAACUCAAAUUUUUCACUGCUCUGCCUAUGUCUGAAUGAUGGGGAAAGCACCAGGAGUAUUGACUUUGAGGUUACAAAUAAAUCUUAAGUGAGCUUGCAAAAAUAGAACCUGCAAAUAAUGAGGAUAGAUAAUAUAUUCUUAGAACUCUGCUACUGCUCAUUUAAGUAGCAAAGUAGAUGACCAGGGAAAGACCCGACAGUACUUUCCAGUCACUAAUACAAGGCUCUAUGACACUUCAGCAGUGACAACGGAGAGGCAGCUUUCCUCUAACGGCCCUACGGAAAAGCUGGGCAGGCCUGCACGCAGCUCAAGAACCUGCUCACCCUGGCAAUAAUUCAAAAACGGCUCUGACUACAUGUAAUAAUUCAAAGCAGACUGUUCAAGAUUCUGCUGGCAAUGAUGGGCUCAACAUACCUCUGUUAAGCUUUAACGACUCCCUCCCAGCUCAGCCAGAAUCGAACAUUCACUGAGGUGUCCCUCUGCACCGCCCCCCUCCCACCCCAACUUCGUGGUUAGACGACUUUCCCAGUGUCACGUAGCUAGUAAGUGGUUAAGCCAGAAAGUGACUCCAGGUAUAUUACACACCAAUGUCCUCGUGGUCCUUUUAGCAAGAAGGUAGGCAUCACCAGAUCUAGAAAGCCCAUUUCCUUCUAGAUACCUCCCUGUCAGUAAGGCCUCAUCUAUGACAGCCUCUUCCACCCCUAAAGUGAAACUACCAGAACCCCCUGUUUUUAUAGACUUCUGCUUUUCUCUGUAACAGCAUCUAUUAAGGGUCUGCCUUAUGUUCUAGGCAACUGGGCACAAGUUAGUUUUCUCCUAAUACCACACUAAGGCUAGGUUCUAGAGUACUGUUUAUUGCCUGGUAGACUUUUCUAUGAUGAGGGAGAUGUUAAAUCUCUGCUGCCCAUCACAGUAGCCACUAGCCACACUGAGCGCUUGAAAUGGCGUUGGUGUGACUAAAGAACUGAAUUUUAAAUGUAUUUAAUUUUAAUUAACAGUUACAUGUGGCUAGCAGUUACUUUAUUGGACACCACACAUCUAGGGAUCAGUAUGGCAUAAGGGAAAGUCCUUGGAGUUUGACAGGCUCUGUCACUAACCAUGUCACCUUGAGCAAGUUAUUUUAAGUUCUCUGAGCCUCAAUUUACACAUGUAUAAAAUGGGGAUGACACCAUUUACCUUGCAGUAUUUUAAGUUUGUGAGUAUGUGUUUACAUACCAAACAGACACGUAUAUAUGCAGAUCUACAUGGAGACGAGCAUUUGAACCUGCUACAGGUUCAUAGAUGUCAUUAAAUUUAUUCCCACCCACUCUGGUAAAUACACAACAACACUGGAGAAUACUGUCACAAAGAAUACUAGUACUACUAUGCAAAAUCACGGAAUGCAGCCACUUCACUGCUUCCCCCCAAAAUGGCUAAAAUGCUGUACUUACUAUUAAUAUGAGAAGUAUCCUGUGAACCUGGGAAGGAAUUCCCCAUCCCUCCCCACAGGACUGGGGAAGUGAGACACAGACCAGCUUCUCCCUCUCCCCUCUUGCACCAGAAAGUCUUAGGGAAACACAAGUGCCCUCUUUCCUUCUCUGCCUUCCUUUUGGGAAGGGCAAUCAUGAAGCAGAUCCAGAUGGCUAACUACAGAAAAGCAAGGUUUGUGCUUCCUUCCAGGCUCACCAACAGGAGAAGAGCGGAGAGCAACACCUCCCCCAGAUCCUUCCUCUCCCUCCACUUCCAUAUCAGUUCUGCAUAAUUUGUCCUCAGAAAAAAUAAGUUCCCAUCAAGGUAAUGAACUGAAGAUUUUCAAGAGAUUCUGGUAUACUUUCUUGGACCACUAUGAAUUGACAUAAGACUUACCCGUUUGUGUUGCCUUGCGAGUUUUUCUUUUGCUUCUUCCAGCUCUUUCUGGAUUUUCAGAACAUGUUUGUUCAUCUUACGAAUUGUGGAGUGCAAGAUUUCCCAAACAAACAAUCUUAAAAGUAACAGAGUUUGGUUACUGUAUGUUAAAGCAUGCUUCUAGAAAGACCUCUCAGCUUUUAUAACCGACUCAUUUUGAAGGUGAUUCCACUCUUUAGGCAGAAUUAGUCCUAUUUCUCCAGUAACACAUACUUUUUUUUUUUAAGAGAUUGAGUGAGCCUGUGAGUGGGGGAGGGGCAGAGGGGGAAAGAGGGAGAAUCCCAAGCAGGCUCCAUGCCCAGCUCAGAGCCUGGCAGAGCCUGACACAGGGCUCAAUCUCACAACCAUGAGAUCACAACCUGAACCAAAAUCAGGAGUCGGACGCUCAACCAGCUAAGACACCCAGGUACCCCAAUUUUUUUGUAUUAUAAAUUGUGCAAACACCUAUCUCUACCCAUUAGACUCAGGUGAGCUUCCUGAGGCAGUAGUGGGUCCUUAUCACUUUUAUUUCCAUCCUUUACUAGACUUGCUAGAAGGUACGUGUACAUACAUUGAAAUGAAAUGGCACACCAGGAAAAAAUGUACAUUAGGAACAAAAAUCUAUUUUCUCUCUUCUAAAUUUAAACAUCAGGUACUGGAAUUUUC